GCGUUUUCCAUUCCCAUGACACCAUUAUAGUUUCUUUGAAUGCAUCUUUUUCCCGUGGAACAACAGAAAGUAGCAGAGAUAAAGAAAAAAAGAAAGGGCAACUGUGGUGGUGGGAAAGGAGUUGGAUGAGUGCGGCCGUAACAAAUGACGACGCCCGCAAAUUAGGUCGGCGCCGGCCUCCCCGGGCGGUGAUUGAGAUGUUGGAAGCCCGGGGGGGGAGGCGGGACCAUGCAGCUCAGAUGCAGGGGAGCAAGUCUGAUUCACGUUGUCCUUUCCUUUCGCACAUGUCUGGAACCAAGGUUAGUCUGCGCUUUUGGAAGUCCUUGAUCUUCCGACAUUACACCUGUUAGAACAUCUUUGGGUGGAGUGAUCCUGAUGACCAGGUGCAUGCGUCUUCCGUUAGGACUUCCUGUAUACGCAGAAAAAUGGAAAAUAUGGAGUCGGUCGCAUUGUAUAAAAGGUUGUAUCUUUUUAGACUUUCCCAUUUAAUUUUUUUGUAUGGCCUUUAGAAAUUGAUACUUGGUAAAAAUAUGUGCAGGAAGCUUUAUUUCUUUCAUGAUCAUCGUCGAAGUUGAACUCAUGAUCCAAUUUCAAAAUCUGGCUUAUCCCAUUUUAGAGAGAGAGAGAGAGAGAGACCAAGUUUUUGUUUUAAGGUUCGAUCAUUAGUGUUUAAAAUUUGAGAUUUUGAUAUAAUUUAUUAGAGACGGUAGCGACUCAUAUAACGGCUCCGUCCCAAAUUUAUUAAUAAAUUCUCACUUGUGGUGGAGGAAUACCGGGGUUACAAGUAAAGUGUCUUGGAGAAUACAAAUAAGCAAUAAAAUCCUCCCAAAAACAAAUCACAAACAAAAACCACAAAUAUAAAAACCAAAACUAAACAAAACCUAACCAAACGGCCCAAACUAAAGAAGCCUAAAUUAAAACAACCGAGCAAACUAUACAAGACUAACCGAAAGAAAGGACGAAAGACAGAACAUUAUUAAAACAAUAAUAACUAUUGUAAAAAUAAUAACAUUAAUGAUAAUCAAACAACAAUAAUAUAUAAUAAUACUAAAAUUACUAUUACUCUAUUGAGUACAUUUUAGAGAGUGCAUUUGUUUGAGCUUUAUUGUGUACAUUUCUACUUGUAUUUUUCAGAAGCAUUUUCAUAUACAAAAAUGGUUUUAUUGUAAUGGUUGGAUUCAGCUCGUUAAUUGAAUUAGGAAGUCUCAGCCUCGUAAAUGAGACCGGUUCGAUUCAGUUCGAAAAUUGAACUGGGGAGUCUGAACUCUGUAAGUGAGACUAGUUUGGCUCAGCCUAGUAAUUGAGUUGGGGUUUUCCUCCACCCGUUUGUGAGCAGGUUUAAUGGAAUCUUUAGGAGUAUGCCCAAGGCGAGGAUGUAGGCUGGUUUGGCCGAACCUCGAUAACAAAUCCGGUGUUGCUUUCUCUAUCUUAUUUAAAUUCAUGCACUUUAAUUUUAUCAUGUGUAUGAAUAUUUAUUUAAUGUCAUAAUGUGCCUAUAGGGAUCCCAAAAUUGUGCAUGCGACGCUCACACAAACCCUGUAUCCAUAUACCCUAGUUCAAUCAACUCAACCCCAGAAUAUUUAUCAUUUUAAUACUCCUAAGCUCAUACUCUUCCAAUAACUAAUUAGACGUGAUAACAUAUUUCUUACCCCAGUUUUUGAGUGGUGCCUAGAAAGCCUAAUCAGCAAAACCGCUUCAGUUAAACUGCAGAGAAACAUCACCGAGAUCUCAAAAUGUUGUUUAUCCUUCAAUGUGGGCUUAAACCGGGCAAAAAAUCGAAGAGAGAAGGAGGGAUGGCUGCAGCCUUAGAGAGAGAGAGAGAGAGAGAGGGAGAGGAUUUAAUUUUUAUCCCAAAAAAUGACUUGAAUGCUUUAUAUAGGCCAUGGACCCGGAGCAAAACCGUCGAUGGUUUGGUUUUUAACCAAACUUGUUUUCACUAUUUUACCCUUACCUAGAUGUGGUAACUCAAAACCGUUGAUGGUUUUCUGAGCUCCUCCAAAACCGUCGAAUGUUUGGCCUAUGCCAAACCAAAUUUCCUCUUUUAAAUUUUUUUCUUAUUGUUUCUAUUUUCCAGAUCUCUACAAUUCACCCUGCUAAUGUCACCUAAUUUAGUGGAAGUUAACAAUAUUUGUUGUUUUUCAAAUCUUGAUAAUUUAUCAAUGAGAGAUUUAAAGUGUCUAAACAUUCCUAAUUCCAAGCACACUAUACCUUAUGAACUUUUCCAUUAAAUGUUAAAUAAGCAUCAAGUACGCUCUAUUGGAUUAGUCACAUUUUUCAUACCAAGCCUUAUUGUUAGUAGAAUUUAUUAGUUUUAUAGGUUCAUAUACUCUUAAUGUUGAGUUAACAUUCAUAACAACAAGAUGAACGCUGAGCGACUCAGCUUAGUCCUCAUAAUUGGUUCUAGAUAAUGUUUUGAUGGAAGACAAGCACAUAGGCAAAGUAGUUGAGGAAAUAAUAAAUGAACCUAUGUUAUUAUGCAUAUAAAAUAAAAUCAUUAUAUACACAUACUUUUCUCACUAUCUAAUCAAUCAUGUUGUACAAACAAAAUCCCCAAAUCACCGAAGUCCCUCAUAAGGAUCCUAGAGUACAAUGAUGAACCAAUUUCCUUAUAGCAAAUCAAUUUUUUGGGGGUACAAAAUCAAAAUUUGCAGGUCAUUGUGGUCUCACCUAAGUAUCCUAAACUACAAUGAUGAACAAAAUCAUCUAAUGAAAGGGUGUGAUCAUCAAUCAUGGGAUUUCUAGUGUCAACUGCAAUCUAGAAACAAUUUUACAUAACUAGAAACUAUAUCAUAUUACUAAACUAGUUACAUCACAAUGAACAUCUUUGAUUAGACUCAUAAUAGGUCAGGACACAUCAGAGGCCAUCGAGGGAGUGGUGCCAGGGUGCGCUGAGGAAACAUAUGCUUGAGUAGAGGGAUGCACCCAUUCUAGAGGGCAGGUAGCCGAUGACGGAUGACGAGAUCUACACUCAGGUGCUUGGGGAACAAACGGGUGGUUGGUUGAAUGGUCUUGGGGGUGGAUACAUAGCCCCAACAUCAUCAUUUUCUUUCAGUGUGGCGUAUCAUGCUGAGAUUGACUGAGAGCGUCGAGCCGCCCAGGCUCAAGCAGAGGAGAUGGUUAUCUGAAUGCAGAUGAUGGAAGCGAAGAACCAGUAAUUGAAAGAAAAUAUGUCGAAUUGGGAAGUGGAGAUGGAAGUCAUGAAGAACUGGAAAGUACAAAUCGAAUAAAUGAUGCACCAAUCUCGUCCAUAUGAUGCGGGUGGCUCCUCUCAUUAGAAGGGUUUGCAACCAUCACAAUGUCAGCACGAUGUCAUGCACUACGGAUGCAGCUUUUGACUUUUUUUAUUAUCUUAACAGAUGAAAUUUUUGUAUUUGAAUUUGAAUUUGUAUAAUGUAUUUGUAUUUAAAUUUGAAUUUGUAUAAUAUAUUUGUAUUUUAAUUUUAAUUUGUAUAAUAUAUUUUUAUUUUUAUUUUUA